rnacentral:lncRNA from 1 species
AGGCAGGUAACCACAAAAUGAUUCUUUUCUUCUUUAGUGCAUGUGAAUAUAUGAUAGCCAUUUUAUUAAUGGUUAAUAUUUAAUGCAAUGCUUUCUGUACAGGACGGAUAAUGCUGUGAAAAACCGUUUCUCCACACUCUGCAGAAAGAAAGAAAAAUAUGCAGCAUUAGCAAAAGAGAACGGCACAUCAUACAUCAAUUCAAAUAACAAGAGAAUUAUGUUUGAACGUUAUAAUAACAUGGAUACAACAGCUGAAUCUGGAGGACCUAUUAAAAAGAUGAGGUAUUGUAUACUCUAUGUAUCAAAAUACACAAACUCUACGAAGAGAAGUGUUAACAUGUUAUCCUAUGGCUAUAUAGGAGGGCCCAUAUCCCUGAUGAUGCAGAAAAGAUCAAAUUUGGGGACCGAUCACAUUUAGGAAAUGGAGCUCCAAUAAAUCAACAGCAAAGAGCACCAUUUGCAGUAUUAGCUCAAAACUCCAAUAAUUCAAACAGCUUGCCAGACCAGCAGCAUGUUUGCAAUCCCAAGCUUAAUUCUGGUAGUUAUCUUUAAACUGAACUUUAGUUUUGAAUAGUAAAACUUGAAACACAAAACAUGAUAUAGUUAAUAUAUUCAGCGAACAAAACUUCAGCCCUCCUCUCAUUGUAAGAUGGUUUAUAAUGCUUCUGCAGCCCAAGAUAACCAGAUUCAAGGAACAUUUCUCAAAAGGGAUGAUCCAAAGAGAAGUGUAUUGAUGGAACAGGCAGAGUUACUAAGUUCACUAGCUCUAAAAGUUGAUACUGAAAACAUGGACCAAAGUCUUGAACACACUUGGAAGGUGAGGCGUUAUAACUUCUUCUAGACUUUCUUCAGUUUUGAAUAUUGAACACAUUAUAUUCUUCUUUAAAAAAUGAACUUGCUAGUUUUUGUGAAGAGUAAAGCCCUAAAAGUACCGGUUGUAUCUUUAGAAGUAAACAUAAGAAGUAACUUGUUGUGCUAGCCUAUUUGCAUCAAAAUUUUGAAAGUCGCUUGACAUGUAUCUUUGUUUAAUUCGUUAGCACCCUGGUAAGCAUUAAAAGUUAAUUGAAAAGGUUUAGGCAUUGCAUGCUCCUAUAGUUUCUUGACUAAAAACAUUUGCAACAUAUCUCAUUAUGAAUCUGAAGCAAUUAUUUAAAGGGAAAUAUGAUUCAAGUAAGUUGUUAAUCUUCCCAAUGAGAACUCUGAAAUAGUUAAUAGAUCGCCUUGCUAAAAAUUGAAAACUCAGCUUGAUUUUAGGAUACCAAUGACGAGCUGACAUAUCUUUUUACUUGAGCAUAUAAAUAUGAUAAAUGUUAUUCUGUACACCCUUUAAAUUCAUCUAACACUUGUUUAAACUGAUGGCAGGUUCUUCAAGAGUUUCUGAACCUAAACAAAGAAUCAGAUAUUCCUGGUCACAAGAUUCCAGAUUUACGGCUUGUAGAUAAAGAUACCACUAAGGACUUGAAGAGCGGUAAUGAGGAAGGCCAGGCUUGUUGGAGGUACUUUGAGAUCUUUAAAAAUAUUGUUUCGCCUGUGGCCUCUGCAAAAUGUCUAAUAGUUUCUGAAUAUGUUCUAGGCAAGUGGAACAGUACGACUCUCCAAGCAGUUCUGGAUACAGUACAGAAUCAACUUUCCUUUGUCAGUCAGCCGGUGAUAAUUCAGAGCACCCAUUGCAUCAGGAUAUUGGAACUGAAAUGAAGUCUGAACAACUUGGAGAUGAAAAAGGAGUAGGCAGAGAUGAGAAAGGGGUUCUUUGUACUGCAAAUGUGGAUAAAGGUAAAUAAAUGGAAAGGAUUUUUAAUAAAAUUUCAGUUUAGUAACAAUUGACCACAUAUAUAAUAGAUUAUGUUCAAAGAGAUGAUGAAUAACCAGAUAAUAACUUAAUCUCUUAAGUGGUUAGUUAUUCCUAAGCUGGAAAUUAUAUGAAGGUCUAGUUUUAUAUAUUUUCUAAAAUAAAAUGCUUUUUUUCAAUAUGCUAAUACCAUAAAUGGUAAGCGUUAAUAUUAUGUCUAUUCUAGCAGAUAUGUUGCCAUAUUGUGAGGAACAGAUAAACAAUGACUUGAUUGUUUCUACCUCAUCAAGAUUGGAGUUCAGCUCCCCUAUUCAAGUAACCCCUCUGUUCAGAUCCUUGGCAGCAGGAAUUCCCAGCCCACAAUUUUCCGAAAGUGUAAGUCAGCCAUGAACUUGGGACUUGGGCAUUGAUUAUAUUUCUGUAUAAUUUUUUUUAAAAUGAUCUAUAUGCAUAUAUUGUAUUUCUUUUGACCGCAGAACCCAUUAUGAUUUCUGUUAUAGUUUCAUAAAGGAUUUUUAGGGUCUCUGAUAUUUUCCGUUAUCUGAUAUUGAUAAUGUUGAUAAUGAUAACUAGCAUGAUUAUAUAUUAUUAGUAAUAUGGGAGCUUUUCAACUUGAUGGUAGAGCUUGUUGUAGUGGAGAUUUUAUAGGGGAAGCUUAUCAAUGCAAAAUUGACAUGUUAAAGCGGUGAACUAAUGGAAUCAUGAUUAGUUGUUGGAUUAAUGGAAUCAUGUCUUUUCCUUUUAGUUUAGUAAGAUGAAUGCCUAUUAUAUAUUAAAUAUUAAUCUAUCAAUAAUAAAUCAAAUAAUGGUGGCAUUUUAUUUUCAUCAUUAGUUUCAAUACUCAAUCCAUGAAACCGUAGUAGGCACCUUAACUCAAGUAUUCCUAAUAUCAUCUAUUUCUACUUCUAAGUCCAUUGGGCUUUUGAAAUAUUUAAGCAAUCCCUACCUAAAAUUGUUGAUGCAGGUAAAAAAGAGGUAAAUGAAGAAGAACAACCUGUUUGUAAUCAAGUAUUUGGGUGGCAUAUAAUGUGCUGGUAAAACUAAUACGAUAUAUGUGUAUAUGGCAUGAGAUUUUCUGAGACAUUUAGAUUUUUUAGCAUACAGAUUAAGUUGUGUAAGAUCUUACUCACAUUGGAGCGCAUAAUAAUGAUAUAACUGCAGGGUUUGUUUGGAUAAAAUUUUCCAUAAACACUCAUUGGAGAAGAAAAUACGAAGGAAAGACUAACCAUAAAGUAAAAUUAGUUUAUAUAUGAAUUAAAAAUCAUCUAUUUAGAGAAACUCAUUUUGUUUGUCCUUCUUAUAUUGCUCUUAUAAGUUAGAAGUAUUUUGAAAAAGUUUAUCUUGCAAAUAAUAUUUAAUUUUGUGGCAAGAUUAGUGGAAGCUGUUAGAUGUUAUUCACACAUUGAUUUUUUUAAUUCUAGUUUGUCGUUGGUAAUGGCACUUCUCGCUUUUUCUCUAGUAUUAGAAUAUAUCGAUGUUUGACACUGAAGACUAACCUUUAUUCUUUCAGGAAAGGAACUUCUUAAGGAAAACACUAGGAGUGGAAUCUCCAUCCAUCAACCCAAGUGCCAACUCAUCACAACCGCCACCCUGCAAAAGAGCCCUACUACCAAGUCUAUAAACCAUCUGAGAUACAAAUAUUGAUCCGUUUUGAAUCCUACUUUCUCAUCCUUGGCAGUAAUCUCUGGCAUAUGGAGAAAAAAUAUGAUUUCAAUCUGCCUAAAGUUUUGAAAGGCAUAUGCUGUUCCUCAAGAAUGUUAUGAUACAUUCUUGCCGCCAUCCAACAUAUCUAACAUCUCAAAAGUUACCUUUUUGAAACUUGCACAUAAAAUUGGCUUGCUUAGUGUGUCAUUCUUUGGUUUGUUUUAUUUUGAUAUUGUUCUGGGUUUGUUUUUCUCCAAUCCAGCAAUCAGCAUUUUGUCCGAAUUUUGUACAGAGCUUGCUGUGUAAUCAGUAGCAUCAUGAUUCCUGAGUGUGUAUGAAUACAUUAGCAUAGAUAGAAGAGAGAGAAGAAACUUAACAGUGGGAACUUGGAUUCUAAUUUGUUGUUUGGAGUGUGCAUAGGUUAUUUAAUAAAUAUUUUUCCCUUUUGGUUCUGAUGUACUGAAACUUAAUCAUAAGUGAGUGGAAAUGCAUUUGGUUUGGUGUGCAGAUACUGUUUCAGUUUUUAGCUCAAUCAAAUUGUAAAAUUCUCCAAACUAAGACUUAUAUUCCAGGUAAAUAAAAGAAAAUGGUAAAGCAAAGGCCAUGAAGCAUCAUGAAAACAGAACAAGAAAUGGAGAAUAUGUAAAUCAUAUACUUACAGAGUUUUCAUGUCACCUUGCCCCCUGACCUGAUAGAGGCAAAGCAUACCUUUCUCUUUGAUACGGCUUGUUUGCCAUGGAGCAUCAUCUUGUGCUGGGUGGAAGAAUAAUUCCACACUCACUGCAUUCUUAUAUUUAGUUAGGAUAAGGGGUUAAUGGUUGGUGGGAGAAUACAGGAGCUGAUAAUGAUGAUAACAAGGUAAAAGCAGUUGGUAAAAAGAGAGAGGG